rnacentral:lncRNA from 1 species
UGGCUUCAUGUCAAUCCGAACUUUCAAUCAUAGCCUCCACCAUCUCUCUAGCUGCGGAUGAAGACCUAAUGACCUAAUAUCGGAGGGGGUGGUUCGGUAGAUAACAGUGUCAUCGAGUCAACGAGGAGACGCCCAGUGUAAUCUAUGGCAGCUCGUUCUUAUCUCCUUCUUCGAUGUGAUAUUCUUCCAUUGUUAUCUCAAAUUAUGAAAUUGGGGCUUGUUAUCCUUAUUUAAUUCAAUCGUCUUCUUUUAUCCUCGAUCGCUGUUGUGUUCUAUUGUUUCCACUAACCCAUGUAAUCAGGUGAUCUUUCUAUUGGCUAGAACCUGGUUUACUCUGGAUGAUCAAGUCUGGCUAUUUGUUAUGUUUCUUUAUAUCUAGGAGAUAAUACAACUAGAGACAUCAUGCUUGUAUAAACAGGCUGGUUUAAAUCCAUUGGCAUGUAUUUUUUUACAAGUUAUGAUUUUCUAACUACUAGUUAUGAACGUAUAGAAACUUUUGCGUCCUCAGUUGUGCUUCAUUUGUGCUGAUAUAUGCAAAUUCUUGUUAUUUUGAUGAUAGGCUACUUACCAACUUAUUUCACCUGCUUCACACAGCAUACUACAAUGGUGACAAUGGCUCGUAUCUCUUCUAGAAUUGUUACAAUCCAGUCCUCUUUUUCUGCUUAGCCUUUUUGAUUGUGAACUUGUUCUUGUUUGCUUUGUUGCAGAUCCUUAAACUAGGAAGAAGAAGAAGAACUUUGUAUGUGAUGCCUUUCAACUAGCAAAAGAGUAAGCUUGUCUUGUUCUAUCCGAGAUUAAGCUUGUCUUGUUUUGAUGUUGUUUAUAGUUUCUGCGUAAACUUGUCUUGUUUACAUGUUCUGUUUCUGUGUAAGCUUGUCUUGUUUACAUGUUCUGUUUCUGCGUAUACAUUUGCGUUGAUAUGCGAUUUUGUUGUUUAUUAACUUUUUCUAUCUGAAUUUGUGUUUGAAGAUUCAUCUGUUCAAGCUGAAGAAAAUAGAGGUGGAAAGGCUUUGUGUCAGAUUAUAAAGAGACUGAUCCAGCAUCCAUGUCUAAAAGGGACUCUCUUAGAAAAUUGAAACAGAAAAGAUCCGUCUGCAAUAAUCUUCACCAAGAGAAGCUAUACGAUCAAUCUCUAAUGAAGAUAGACGAGAAAUUAAGAUUCGAAGUUAGUUUUUUAAGACUUGGCAAGACUUAUGUUGUUACUUGUUAGUAUAAGACUUGUAUGCUGUUAGUGUGAGACUUGAAAGGAUUCUAUGUAAAAUUUAUGUUUUAU